GGGUCAAUGAUAACUCAUAUGGUCCUGAAGUGAGUUGAUGACUUAAAAAUCAUGCUCAAUAGGAUUACACUGAGGCCU